CGGGACCCGACGCGGAGUCGGGCGGGCGAUGCUCGGGGGCCGCCCCGCGGCCGGUCCGCGCCUUGCCCCCGCCUCCUCCCGCCGAGAGAGCCAGGCGACGGCGGCGAAGACGACGACGACGGCGGCGGUCAUCUAUGGAGCUCGAGAACUUCUUGGCCAACACGAUGCUGCUGAGAGCGCGCCAAGGUGGGUGCACAGCGGCGCCCCGACCCCGCUCGAGUCCUGAGCCCGUGCAGCCCCAGCCCUGCCGCGAACACCGACACUGCCGCGGCCCCCGGAUCUUCCGCGGAAUGGCGACCCCCGGGCCCGCGCAGCCUCACUCUCUGGAGUGCGCGGUCGGCGAGUGGUCAGCCCUGGCACCUAGCGCCUAAGCUGCUCCGUCGCCUUUCGGCGCCGCCUCAGGACCCGAGUGAAGGAAGCGCGCGCGCUGCUCCAGUUCUGCACUUGCUCCCCUGUCCUGCCCUCCUUCCGGAACCUCGGGACGCAGUGUGGCUUCAGCCUCGGGCGAUCAGUGCGAUCUGUCCCCAAGAGAGGAGGCCAGACCAGCCAGUAAAGCCGGCGGCAAAGAACCGUGUCUUUGUGGUUUUCAAAGGACCACCGGAGAGAAUCCCGUGAACCACCCUGGGAGGCCGUUGCCUUAAGUGUGUCUUCUUGUCUGUCUAGUCGCUCAGUCCGACUCUUGCGACCCGGUGGACUGUAGCCCGGCAGGCUCCUCUGUCCAUGAGAUUUCCCAGGCAAGAAUAUUGGAGCAGGGGACUGUUCACAUCUCUUCUUGGAUUUGAGGUUUGAUGGUGUCCAGACUUGUGUAGAGUGGGUUUUAGCCCGGCUUAGGGAGAGAUUGAACACAUUAGGAAGAAUUCAUGCUGGUCGCAAUGUAGAAGCAGCAGUUGGGCCCACCUUUCCACUUGCUGACCCCGGGAGUAUAGUUCUCUGUGGAGGUGACCCCUCUGCUGCUCCUGGAGAGAUGGGAGGGCUGGCGGCAGAGCCCACCCAUAGUUCCUCAGCCCCUUCGCUCUUAGGGCUUUGGUGUGGGGUCAGUCGCGUCAUCUUUGUGCCGGCAACAGAGUUAAGUGCCCACCGGAGGAUGUGUGUUUAAUACAAUCUGGAAGAAGUAUUUUGUUCUCUGUCUCCCAGGGCUUCAAAGUUCCAGUCCUGGGUGCACAUGUUGGCUAAGUGGAAUUCUUGGUGACUUGUGAUGCUGCUGAGAAGCAUCAAUCAGUUCAUCUUGUGAUUAGAGUAGUGCUUAACAUUGUGUAAGGGAAGUUAAGCUGGAAUAUCAGACUUGGGGAGUUCUCUUUUUAAGCCACCUCCUUCCCAUUUCAAGAGGAAAGAUCUUGAUUAAAAUGUGCAUGGUUUUUCACACCUUGGAGACUGCAUCAGAAACACUAUGCAGGAAUUUCUCGAAGUCACAGUGAGUGAUGCAGAGAAUUAGCCACUGAAGUUAGGGGUUACACGGAGGGAUUCUGAUUUCAGACGUAGUGAACUUUUAUUAUGUAAAGUGUUUGCUGUAUUAGGAGUUGAAAAUCAAGACCUCAGUACUUCUGUGUGCUCACCGGAAUCCCUCUGAGUAGAAGAACUGAGGACGGGUACGAAGAAGCCGGGUCCUACUUUGCUGUUCAGGCCCUGGAGGGUCCUUAGAGUAAGACAGGGCAUUGAUUGUCCUCUGGCGCCCCUCACUCUGAACUCAGCACUGAUCGUAGAAGUGGAUCAUCCUCCGUGGAAAUCAGAUCUGACUGAGGCUGAACCUGUUUUCUUUCUGCUCUGCUUUUGUGUCUGGGUAUAAUGUCUGAAUAGAGAAUAUUGUACCAAACAGACUGCCUUACAGUGCUGUAGAGCUUCGGUAAGGAGGAGCAUGAGGGAUUAGCAAGAAAAGUGGUCGUAGUAGGAAGUGGAGGGAGAUGCUGAGACUGCCCCCCGUCAGCCAGUGCAGUGAGCUUCGCCAGUCCAUCGAGAAGGAUUACAGCAGCCUCUGUGACAAGCAGCCGAUCGGAAGACUUCUCUUCAGGCAGUUCUGCGACACGAAAGGGGAUCUGAAGAGGCGGAUUGAGUUCCUGGACGCAGUGGCAGAAUAUGAAGUGGCUGCUGAUGAGGACCAAAGACACUGUGGGCUCCUGGUCUUGGACACAUUCUUCGGGGGAAAGGGUUCGCCAGCGCCUCUACCAGAAAUACCUGAACACGUGGUGCUUAAGUGCAGGCAGAGGCUGUGGGAGGACCCAGCCAAAGACAUCUUCGAGGAGUGCACCAGAAUUGUCCAUGACCAUUUAAGUGAAGAAGCAUUUGAAGAAUACCAAGAAAGUGCAUAUUUUUCUCGAUUUUUACAGUGGAAAUGGCUGGAAAGGCAACCGGUGACAAAGAGCACAUUUAGGCACUACAGAGUCCUGGGGAAAGGCGGGUUUGGAGAGGUUUGUGCUUGUCAAGUGCGAGCUACAGGAAAAAUGUAUGCCUGUAAGAAGCUAGAGAAGAAAAGGAUAAAGAGGAGGAAAGGGGAGGCCAUGGCCCUGAACGAGAAGAGGAUCCUAGAGAAAGUGCACAGUAGGUUUGUAGUGUUUGCAUUUUCUUUCCUACAACGCUGCUGUCCUCAGGUUAGUUUAUGCUACACAUACCAAACCAAGAAGUCCCUGUGCUUGGUGCUAACCAUUAUGAACGGAGGGGACCUGAAGUUUCACAUUCACAACCUGGGCAACCCCGGCUUCGAGGAGCAGAGAGCGAUCUUCUACGCGGCCGAGCUGUGCUGUGGCUUGGAGGAUCUGCAGCGGGAGCGCAUUGUGUACAGGGACUUAAAGCCCGAGAACAUCCUCCUUGAUGAUUACGGACACAUCCGGAUUUCAGAUCUUGGUUUGGCCUUGGAGAUCCCAGAAGGGGCGAAGAUCAGCGGAAGAGUUGGAACGCUGGGCUACAUGGCUCCAGAAGUCAUCAACUCUGAGAGCUAUACAUUCAGUCCUGACUGGUGGGGGCUCGGCUGUCUGAUAUACGAGAUGAUUGAGGGACAUUCUCCAUUCAAAAAAUACAAAGAGAAGGUUAAGCGCGAGGAGGUGGAGCGGAGAGUGAACAAAGAGACAGAACAGUACUCCGAGAAGUUCUCCGAGGACGCCAGGUCCAUCUGCAGCAUGUUACUCACCAAGGACCCUGCACAGCGCCUGGGCUGCAGGGGCGAAGGGGCGGCUGAAGUCAAGGGACACCCCGUGUUCAGGGACAUCAACUUCAGGCGGCUGGAGGCCCACAUGUUAGACCCGCCUUUCCACCCUGACCCACAGGCGGUUUACUGCAAGGACAUCUUGGACAUCGAGCAGUUCUCCGCGGUGCGGGGCAUCCAACUGGACAGCACAGACAGCUGCUUCUACAGCGAGUUCGUCACGGGCUGUGUGUCCAUCCCCUGGCAGAACGAGAUGAUCGAGUCUGAAUGCUUCAAGGACAUCAACGAAAGUGAAAACGAGCCAGUUGUGGACGCGCCAGUUGUGGUUUUAGAGCCGGAUGAGAAGAUGAGUCAGCAAGUUCCCAGGCAGAAGAGAGGCUUCUUCCACAGGCUCUUCUCCAGCGGGCGCCUGUUGUGUGAGGGGAUGCACACGGUGUGCAGGCUGCCCAGGCGGUGUGUUUGAGCAGCGAGAAGAGCCCGCCCAGAGAUGUUUGCUCUUGGUAUGAACUCUGUCCUGAUGGCAAAAGAAGAAAUGGCUCCAGCACUCGGAAAGAGACCCCGCUGUCCAUGACGACGCGUUUCACACUAGGCUCGUGAAGCAUUCCGAAGAACCAAUGCAGAAGAACAAAAGCCCUUUCAGUUUCUGCCUGGUGGUGUUCCGAUUCUCAGAGCUGUCGUGUCAUUCACCCGCGAUCAUGGGGAAAGCUGAUUCUCCUUUGAAUGUGGAAGAGUGUUUGGAGAGGCUUUCUGUGGUAGCAUUAAACUCAGGAGUGGCUUCCAAGUCUCCUUGGACCGUGGAUCAUCCUGCCGUAUACCCUGUCCGCUCCAGAGGGAUUUUGCCUCGGUCAUCCACUAAACAUCUCAUCCAUCGUGUCUCAGCACAAACCCAGAGAAUGUGGCCAGGGCUGCUUCAACGCUGGCUCCAGCAAGAAGAAGAUGGUGUCCUCCAGACGGUGAGCAAGCGCUGCGUGGCCAGACCACACAGGAGCACGUGCUGGGGCCCUGUCCCGCCUGCAACCUGCAAUAAACAUG